rnacentral:rRNA from 1 species
GGACGAACGCUGGCGGCGUGCUUAACACAUGCAAGUCGAACGGAAAGGCCCUGCUUGCAGGGUACUCGAGUGGCGAACGGGUGAGUAACACGUGGGUGAUCUGCCCUGCACUUCGGGAUAAGCCUGGGAAACUGGGUCUAAUACCGGAUAGGAGCCAUUUUUAGUGUGAUGGUUGGAAAGUUUUUUCGGUGUAGGAUGAGCUCGCGGCCUAUCAGCUUGUUGGUGGGGCAAUGGCCUACCAAGGCGGCGACGGGUAGCCGGCCUGAGAGGGUGGACGGCCACAUUGGGACUGAGAUACGGCCCAGACUCCUACGGGAGGCAGCAGUGGGGAAUAUUGCACAAUGGGCGCAAGCCUGAUGCAGCGACGCCGCGUGGGGGAUGACGGCCUUCGGGUUGUAAACUCCUUUCGCUAGGGACGAAGCUUUUUGUGACGGUACCUAGAUAAGAAGCACCGGCUAACUACGUG